AAGAGAACAAAACAUCCGAAUCAAAAGCAGCAAUGACCCGUUCCCAUUCUGCUACAAAUUCAGUGUUCUCUUAGGCCUUUGAUUAGCUUUCAACAGAUAGAUCUACAAUACAUUAGAAAGAAAAAAAAAAAGAAGAAGAAAUAAACAAGAGAAUUUAGGGAUUUGUUGUGGUUGCCAAAGUUGGACCAAUUUUCAAAUUCUUGUUGGGGAUCAGGAUCAAGUGAGAUAAGGUUCAUUAGAUAUGAUGGGAAGAAGAAGAAGUAAGUCACUGCUGAGCUGGAUAAGUCAACACAAAUAGCAAGUGACGUGGACUUAAACAAAGGGUGAAGCAGAGCCUUGAGCUGAAGCAGAGGGUCCUUUUAUAUUGACUCCCUACUGAAACGUCAAACCCUCGGGUUCGUUUGAAAUCGAAUCUUCUUACUGAUCAGGAUCCGAGGCGAUGACGAACCCGAACCCAAACCCGACUGUUGGUUGGAAGCAGCUUCGCCGGUCGCCGCCAGUGACAAAAUCGACCAAGCAUGAUCCGCAAAUAAGCUAUCUCUGUAUCAAUUUUGAGCUUCUUUGUUAGAUAACAGUCUCAGUUCUGAGAAAGAUAAAGAGUGUCCUGCAAGCAUGGCGAAGACUUUUGUUGUCCAAGAGAUGUAUGAAGCGAAAAUUGUUAGUUGGAUUGUCUUUACUGUCUCUGUCUAUAGUUUAGGCCUAGGACACUAUAAGUUGCGGAGUUUUGUUGAGUAGGUUAAUGUUGUCGAAGGGAUUGAAGCAAAGGAGGUUUCUCAACUCGUUUCUAUUGUAAACAAUCUGAGACUUCCUGAUAGAAGAGGUCAACUUCAAAGUGAGGCAUAUGUGGGUUGUAAACGGCCAAAUAAGAGGACAUGGACGCGAGAUGAUCCAACUUGGUCUCCCCAUAGCUGAUAGAGAGUAUCAA